rnacentral:rRNA from 1 species
AAUGAACGCUGGCGGCGCGCCUAAUACAUGCAAGUCGAGCGAGAAGACGUAGCAAUACGUUUGUAAAGCGGCGAACGGGUGAGGAAUACAUGGGUAACCUACCCUCGAGUGGGGAAUAACUAGCCGAAAGGUUAGCUAAUACCGCGUACGCUCCUUGGACUUCGGUUCAGGGAGGAAAGCGAUACCGUGGGUAUCGCGCUCUUGGUUGGCUCAUGUCCUAUCAGCUUGUUGGUGAGGAACGGCUCACCAAGGCUUCGACGGGUAGCUGGUCUGAGAGGACGAUCAGCCACACUGGCACUGCGACACGGGCCAGGACUCCUAC